UUUAUGGAGAGUUUGAUCCUGGCUCAGGAUGAACGCUGGCGGCGUGCCUAAUACAUGCAAGUCGAGCGAACGGACG
rnacentral:rRNA from 1 species